rnacentral:misc_RNA from 1 species
CUUAACUAUUACAGACUAAAAAAUUCACUUAAUUACAUAACGUUUAAUUCUGUUAUAUAUCAAACAAAUACUAUAAGCCUUUCAUGUAAGAUUCACAAAACAGUAGAAACUGAACAAGCAAUGUGCAAUAUAUAUCUAGUAUUUAAAAUGAUCUAUCCCUCAAAGAAUGGCAGGCUCUCUAAUCUUGUUGGCUUCACACAACUUGAUGGCGCCCACCCAAUUUUCUUGUUCACAUUAUCAUAUAUGACCAAUUGCCCACGCAAUGAUAUAUCUGCAAGAAUUUUAAUUAGCAGCAUAUAUGUAAAAGAAAGGAGUGCAAGUGUUCAGAGGUGAAGAAGAAAAAAUAAUUGCACCCAACAAUGGGCUGUUUAGGACGCUAACAACUAUAUAAUUUCGACAAAGAGAGAGUGAGUGAGAGGAUAGUUGAAUGCACCAAACACAAUACCUCCAAGUAUAAUUGUGGAUCCAUCAUGCACCUGGCUUCCAUCAAGAAUACCCAAGCACACAUUGCCUUUAUUACUAAUGACCAAGUAGCCUUCUGGAGGAAUCCGAAACUUUGUGGAGAUAAUCCACCAUUUGCUCCCGAAUUGAAGGGUUAAAGUCUUGAAGAACUGCUUAACAUCUGUAAUGGAUCUGUGUGCAAAGGAUUGCAGAUUUAGAAGUUGUGGUUGGAAGAAGCCUUAAUGUGAGGUUAAACUAAAGAAAGAAAAUAUCGAGCACAUUAUAAUUUUUAAUAAAAUUGUGCUAGGCAUGGAAUCCGAUGUACUAAUCUCCUUGGGGCAUUUAAAAUAUACCAGUAAGUAAUCAUUCCGCUGAAAUGUUAUUGAUAGCUGUGCUAAGAAAAGACUAGGUGAAAAUUAUUUCAAGUAGAGUCCCACCAGACAAAUAGUUAAACUUCUGCUGUACCUGAUAGGGAAUUCGGCUCGCCAACAGAAGGGCAGUGUUGGAUCUGAUUUAUCUUGGAUAAGCCCCUCCCCGGACACCUCUUUAAGCUAUAUAUAUAAUCUGUAGAAUCAGAACUUUGAAAGAAGUGUUUGAUGACAACAUGUAGUUGUGGAUGAAAAAUACUUACAGAUGAAACCAAUUCAGAGUAAGCUUCUUUGGGGAAGUAUGUAUAAGAACUGCCACUAUCAAACACUAUCCGUCUUACUCUUCUAUCCUGCCCACCUAGACUGAGUGGGCUGCUACCAUAAUUCAACUUCAUAAUCUCUGUCUGAUAAGAUUCUCUGAGAAAGAAGAACAAACGCUAAAAAUGAAUUAUAAGAUUAAAAUGAAGCUGAACAAAUUGUAGAAAGGCCAUUGCAGGUGUUUGUGUAAAAUCAAACACACUCAACUUCACAUGCACACAUGAAAAAUAAAAGGGUAAGGGGGGAAGAGAGGGAUUGGGAGAGCAGAAGAAACAUGGAUACAUGGGUGGUUGAAUUCUUAAAUCUUGCAACUGGAGGAAGCUUAUGUGAGUUCCAUAGCAGAUCUUAAGACACUGCAUUUCUUCUAAUUGAUCGACAGGAAAAAUGACCCAGAGAAUUUAUUCUUUUUCCUCUAAACUUGCACAUUGAUAGGCAGUGACAGGUGAGAGAUGAAACCAUCAUGGAAGAUGAACUUGAGAGAGAACAUAGAGAUAGAAUUAACUCACAACAAAUGUUCUGAGAAAAAAAUUUCAAUCAGCCACAGUGGGAUAUUUAACCAAAACAAUUGCUACUCCCAAAUUGAACCAUUUGAGCAUGUAUAUUCUGCCCUGAAACAUUCUCUAUAAAGUAGAAAAGCAAACAAAAUCCUAGACCAUAAAAUGAAAAAAAAAAAAUUACUCACAUAGGGCCGUUGAGCAUAGGAACCCAUGCCAUACCCCAACGUGGUACAAAAUCAUCACCUAAGAACAUAUAUCCACCACCACCUACAUCAUUGGUAAGACAAUGACCCACCACAUUGUUUAUGAUGCCCCGGCUUGCCAAUUGAGAAGGUAAACUAACUUUAGCAUUGCUUAGUCCAAGUAUCCCAUCUGUCUUUGCCAAAGUGUUUAGAAGUAAGCCUUGCUGAUCAUAUGCACACCCAAAAAUAAAAUUUAACUUAGUUGAAGAUCCAUUUGCCAUCAUUAGGUGAAGUUCAUCUCUUGCAAGAACUCCCAUAGAGGAGCUAUGAUCUGCAUAUUCAAUCUCAUAGUCGCACUGUUGGCACGUAUCACAAUACCCUGGCAUCUGAUUUCUUUUAAGUUCCAUGCAUAAUGAGUCCUUGGGAGUUACAAUGUUGUCUCUUUUUGGCUUGUACAAAGCAUUUGCCCCCUACAUGAACCAUGUACACUAAACUCAAGAUAAUUUUCAUCUCAAUAAAUUCAAUGAAACCUUGAGGUUUAACCAUUGUAGUCAAUUUAUAUAGAUGACAGCAAAUUCUUGUUAAAGCUGCAUCUUUAGUUUGAUACGUGAGGGGAAUAGAAGUGUCUUUUCUGAACACUUCAACAACAGCCUAAAAUUCAUAUAUACCAGUACAUUCACUUCCUUUCAUAUAUACCACACAUUCAGCCUAUACUUCAUAUGGUAACUAGCCAAGGUGUGAGGUGCUGGGUUUCAGAAAUACUUUAUUCUCAAUUCCAAAAAUUAAAUGAUAAAAGCUAUAGUCCAAUUUUUUUUUUUUCUCAUGAUGGCUAAACCGGCUACAUGCCUACAACCACUUAUCUUUCAAAUUUCUCAUUGCAGCCGAACAAAAUUAAGGAAAAACCAGUGAAAAUGUCCCUUUAUCCACAAACU